rnacentral:lncRNA from 1 species
AAUAUUAGUUUAAAUGUAAUAAAGAAAUUUCCUCUACACUAAGUUGUCAAGAAAAUCUUCACUUUGAAGUUGGAAACAAAGGCCCACGAACCACAGCAGAGAAUUACCUGUGCUAUUUAUCAGGAAUUUGUGGCCCAAUUUGUCUCUUACUUCUGAAUUCCUGGCAUAAGUAAACCUGUGAUCCCAUCUUCACAAGAGGCCAGUGACUUGAUAUAGCAUAGGCCUUCCAACCCUUCCAUCACCGACAUCAGGGAUGCACCAGGAUUCCCAUCCCGUCCAAUUCUUCAACUUUCCCCCAAUAGCUGGAUCUUUAAGAACCCCAAUUCCUGCCUGUGAACAUCUGGCAAACUGACAAAUUUACAUAGCUUCUUUGUGGGCUCUAGAACAUUUACGUAUACUCAGACUUGCAAUGCAAUUCAAGGUUCUCAUACCCUGACUCUUGCUAAAACAAUGCUGGAAACUAGAUACUAAGUCCCGCCCCCACACUCUUUUUAGAGACCUUGUAACUAGCUGGUCAUACAUUUUCAAUGACACUGGCCAAAGAAGAGUGAGGAAACUGGAAGUCAUACAAAUGAUAUGAAUAGCAACCAGGAAGACAUGGAACAUUUCAUUACUGGGUCAAACUAGAUUAAUGCGUUGCUUUAUUUAGGUUUCUCUGUGAAACAGAAAAGCUCCCAACCUCAUCACUUAGGGUCUUCAUGGAGGGCCCAUUAGAUAGGUGAUGGAACUCAACCUCCUGCCCUUCUCCACUCCCCAGAAUUUGGGUGGUGGAGUUGGAAGUCCCAAGCCUCUAAUCCUGCCUUGGUCUUUCUGGCAACCAGCACCCAUCUUGAAGCUAUCUAGGGACUCCCAGCCACCAGUCAUCUCAUUAGCAUACAAAAGACACUUAUCACUCCAGGGAUUCUGAAAGUCUUGUAAGCUCUUAUGUCUCUAGAACCAGACACGAAGACUGAAUAUUAUAACAGAUGCUCCUAUUGCCCUUAUUGCUCAGGACAUUACAAGGGUUUUAGGAGCUCUGUGCCAGGAACUGGGAGCAGAGACCAAAUAUAUACUUCUUGCUGACACAACUUACUACAUAG